rnacentral:rRNA from 1 species
AACAGAGGGUGCAAACGUUGUUCGGAAUUACUGGGCGUAAAGCGCGUGUAGGCGGCUAAGUAAGUCGGGCGUGAAAUCCCACGGCUCAACCGUGGAAGUGCACUCGAAACUGCAUAGCUAGAGUCCUGGAGAGGAAGGUGGAAUGCUUGGUGUAGAGGUGAAAUUCGUAGAUAUCAAGCGGAACACCGGUGGCGAAGGCGGCCUUCUGGACAGUGACUGACGCUGAGACGCGAAAGCGUGGGGAGCAAACAGG